rnacentral:rRNA from 1 species
UACGGGGGGGGCAAGCGUUGUUCGGAAUUACUGGGCGUAAAGGGCUCGUAGGUGGCCAACUAAGUCGGACGUGAAAUCCCUCAGCUUAACUGGGGAACUGCGUCCGAUACUGGAUGGCUUGAGUUUGGGAGAGGGAUGCGGAAUUCCAGGUGUAGCGGUGAAAUGCGUAGAUAUCAGGAGGAACACCUGUGGUGUAGACAGCUUACUGGACCACUUCUGACGCUGAGACACGAAAGCGUGGGUAGCAAACAGG